UAUGGGUCACUAUCUUCCUGGGCCUGAUAAGUUUAAUCCAAGUUGCCCGGGAGGGAAGAACUCAUAAAAUACUUUAUCUGAAGCAAGUGCAAAAAUACUCAUAAACUAAAGGUUAAUCACUGCACCAGAAGAACAGAUGAAGGAGACAGGCCAGUUUUAUGUUUCUUUACUGUGCUGCCCUUAUUAAUCAUGUUGUGGUGUUAUUUUAAGAUGACAGGUGGGUGGAUUGAUCAUCUGUAUAAUGAUCCCUUCAGAUUUCACUAAACAGCGUAUGAAAUUACGGCAUGCAGGAAUGAGUAGCAACACUGUUGGCUCCUGUGGUGGACUUCUAUGACACUAUGUGAAGCUGAGUGGGCUUGGAAGCUAAUUUCUCAAUGAAAUCAAUUAACAGGACAGUAAAUAUUUGAGAUUUGUGGAUCAAAUAAUAUCUUAAC
rnacentral:lncRNA from 1 species